AGCAGUCACAGUCCUCAAAUAAUAUUCAAGGCGACCUAUUAUUCGAAGCACACAUGCAGAAAGUUGCAUAUCAAUGUACCCGGAAAGCAAAGGGGAAUUCAGAAGCUGAGCAGCGCAUGAAGGAAUCCAUGAAGAAAUUAUCAUUGGACAUUGAUGACAUUUUGGUUGGUAAGGGUACUCAAUCACGAAGACAACAAAGGAAAAAUAAAGCACCAGUCAAUAAUGAAAAUACUAUGAAUGAUCCAGCUAAAAUGCGACCUAAAGGAAUAUCUAAUGCCAGACUGAAAGGGUACUGGGAAAAAAAUAAAAGAUCAAAAGGUAUGGAUCAACAACUACAAUCCAUUUUAUAUGUUGUGUCACUUAAUUUACCAAGUUUGAUAUGUAUAUAUUUAGGCAAACAAAAAAAUGUAACAACAACCGAAGAACCCGAGACAUCACAAUGUCAUCCACCCGCAUGUUCAUUACCCAAUUUUCUAACACAGAAUUCAUUUCCUCCAAGAAACAGGGAAUCCUACACUGCGAUGAUGACAGAAUGCCUCAAUGAGUAAUCAAUCCCUCAGUGGUAAUGAAUUAAGGUAGGCUGUGAGGACCCGAAUCAGCACAUGAUUUAGAACAGCUACUGGAUAUCCUUUUGGAAGGAUAUGAGAGCCGAAAUCAACACAUUAUUGUUCAACCCUAAUCAACACAUGGUUUAUGAAUUACGC